ensembl:lncRNA
CCACCCGUAUUCUAAAUGAUUGUGUGAUUCCAAAUCCUGAGCCAACUAUGUGUAUUUCAAAAACGGCCUUUAAUCCAACAGAACUGCUUUACUCUCCAGGGGGGAAUCCAACCGGUUCACCGGGAUUGAGGAGGGUCAACUGUCACAAAUACAGGACGCCGAAAAGACGAUCGCGCUCACAGAAAAAAAGGUGGCGGCCACAAUGCAACGCAUCCCUGAAAUGAUGGAGCUCGAGAAAACGGAAAACGACAGAAUUGUGCAACUGAAACUUCAAAUCGAGGUUGAAAUGCAAAAGAAUAAGAAAUCAAAAGACAAACUAACCGCACUGCGAGAAGACAUCGAGAAGGCCGUGAGUAUUGUCACCUUCAUAACAUUGGCUUUGUCUGCUUAUGUGUGUCCUGAUAGUUCUUUUGGUAGAGCGCAGUAAACACGACUGCCAGACUGCGAACGGCCUCUCGCUGGAGCUCUGCAUGCCGAUGCCGCUCGAAGCCGCGGCUCUGUGAGGGGUUUUGGAUAAGUGCAUCCGCUCUGCAGCACACUGUAUGUUAUGUCAUGUUAUCUACAGAGGCUUCACGGGGAAGCCGAGGUUUCCUGCAUAGAAGAGCAGCUCCUUUCAAAACGUAACGCUUUUGAGGCUCUUCGUCAAGAGAACAUGGAGUGUGAACAGAAUGCGGAGGACUACAGGAUGAAAAUGUCUGAGAGCGAGAAGGCGGUGCAGGAGAUGCGCGAGCAGAGGAAGCAGAUGCUGCUGAGCAUCAUCGACAAUGACGAGCGGUGGGAAGAGGCCGAGGAGGAAGUGGCCCAGGUCGUAGCCAGGCACGGCGUCACCCGGGCCACGCUGGACGAGCGGGAGAAGCUCACCUUCGCGGAGGAGCAGAGGACCAAGAAAGAGAUCGAAAAGCUGAGGCAGGAUCUGACGGGUCGGACGAGCGCCCUGGAGCUACUGAAGGGUCAGUGUGCGAAUAAAAGUGAGGAACUGUAUCGACAGCAAAAGAGCAGAGCGCUGACUAACCAGAAACUUCAGAAAGAGUUUGAAGAUGCAUCCUCAGUGACCAAAGAACUGGAGACCUCAUUUUUGAAAAUUAAGAAACUGGCAGAACAUUUUGAGGAGAGCCAGCGUGAACACAGGGACACAUUAGUCAAACUUGAGACGGACAAACAACUCCAACGUGACCACCUGAAAGCUGCUCAGGCUUCACUCGCCGCCGCCGCCGAGCGAUAUGACGCCACCGCGGGCCGGAUCAGUGACCUGACAAAGAAGACCCGGGACUGCCGCCAGGCUUCCGAUCAAAUGGAGGAAAUGUUCAAAAACAUGCCGGAGGUCAUAGCAGAACUUCAGAGCGUCUUUGACGCGGUGGAUUUCAAAAACAAGUCAGCUGCUCUCGUAAUGAGCACCUUGCAGUCUGAUAUUAAUAACUGCCAACAACGAACACAGCGAUCCGUGCAGGCACACACUGCUCACGUUGCAGCCAGAAGGAAGGAAAUGGAAGACACCAAGGAAGCCCUAAAAAUCGCACUGGCGGAGAACGAAGGUCUGGCGCUGGAGUACGAAGGUCUUCGGAAGAUCCUCACGCAGGCCAAACGGGAGGAGGCGUCCGCACUGCGAGAGAAAAACCGGGCGCACAAAUCUUUCCACUACUACUCCCAGCUCUCUUUGUUGCAGAAGAGGAUGCACAAAGCUCUGGUGAAAUACUUCAAACGACGCAGCCUCUACAGCCGGGCUGAACUGGACCGGUGCCUGGCUCUUUCUCAAGGGACCCACCGGAAAAUACAAACUGCCCAGGAAGGCUUGUCAGCAGAAAUUCAGCUCAUCUCUGCGUUCCUGCAGCCGCUGACGGAUGACUCGUCCGCCUGCGACCACGCCGGCGCCAACAAACGAGCAAACCGGCCCAGGACCGAAUGA